CUUCUUAGAGGGACUAUCGGUGUUUAACCGAUGGAAGUUUGAGGCAAUAACAGGUCUGUGAUGCCCUUAGAUGNUCUGGGCCGCACGCGCGCUACACUGAUGAAGYNAUCGAGUGUCAUUUCCUUCAUCGUGAAGAUGUGGGUAAUCUUUUGAAACUUCAUCGUGCUGGGGAUAGAGCAUUGYRAUUAUUGCUCUUGAACGAGGAAUCCCUAGUAAGCACAAGUCAUCAGCUUGUGCUGAUUACGUCCCUGCCCUUUGUACACACCGCCCGUCGCUACUACCGAUUGAAUGGCUUAGUGAGG
rnacentral:rRNA from 1 species